CGCGAUGGGGCAGCUACCAUGCAGUCGAGCGAGAACUUCGGUUCUAGCGGCGGACGGGUUAGUAACGCGUGGGAACGUGCCCUUCACUACGGAAUAGUCCCGGGAAACUGGGUUUAAUACCGUAUACGCCCUUCGGGGGAAAGAAUUUCGGUGAAGGAUCGGCCCGCGUUAGAUUAGAUAGUUGGUGGGGUAACGGCCUACCAAGUCUACGAUCUAUAGCUGGUUUUAGAGGAUGAUCAGCAACACUGGGACUGAGACACGGCCCAGACUCCUACGGGAGGCAGCAGUGGGGAAUCUUAGACAAUGGGCGCAAGCCUGAUCUAGCCAUGCCGCGUGAGUGAUGAAGGCCUUAGGGUCGUAAAGCUCUUUCGCCAGGGAUGAUAAUGACAGUACCUGGUAAAGAAACCCCGGCUAACUCCGUGCCAGCAGCCGCGGUAAUACGGAGGGGGUUAGCGUUGUUCGGAAUUACUGGGCGUAAAGCGCGCGUAGGCGGAUUGGAAAGUUGGGGGUGAAAUCCCAGGGCUCAACCCUGGAACUGCCUCCAAAACUAUCAGUCUAGAGUUCGAGAGAGGUGAGUGGAACUCCGAGUGUAGAGGUGAAAUUCGUAGAUAUUCGGAAGAACACCAGUGGCGAAGGCGGCUCACUGGCUCGAUACUGACGCUGAGGUGCGAAAGUGUGGGGAGCAAACAGGAUUAGAUACCCUGGUAGUC
rnacentral:rRNA from 1 species